GACACCUGCAGACCUGCUUCACCGCUUGUGAAGUGACUCCCCUGCAGGUGGGGAGCCAGGACUCGAACCCGGACCCUUACACCGGUCCUUGCGCUUUGUGCUACCUGUGCUUAAUCCGCUGCGCUACAGUCCGACUCCCAGAAUAUACAUGUUUAAAUGUAUACACUAGAGAAUGCAGAAAUUCAGAUAUAUAAGAAGAAUGUCAGCACUCCAAGUGUGUCUAGAUCAUACCUGAUACAUAGAAAGUUUCUAUAAAUGUCUAUAGGAUAAACAAAUAAAAAGGUAUCAGACUUUCACACCACUGGGUACAGCAGGUUGUCAUGAAAAUAUCCACACCUAUUUAUUAGAUAUUUUCUGUAGCAUAACAAGCAUGUACAUCAUACUCAAGGCUUGACUUACUAUUAUUUUGCUGAGAGCUCAUUCAUUUUCAUUGCAGAAGGAUUCAGUUAUCUUGGAACAUGAUCUUUAGGACAGAAAUAUAUUGCUUAUAGGCAUCUGGUCAUAUGGAAACUGUAAAUUGUGCAGCCUCUCCAUUUUUAGUCAACCUAGGUCAGAGUUUAAUGAACCAUGCAUUUCCUUCUACUAUUACUAAUGAGAGAAGGAACCAAAGCAUCAUCCUGGCACAUGCAACGGUAGGAAUUGAAUUCAGGACCUCAGAUUUGAGAGCCCAAGGUCCUGUGCCACUCUGCCAACCCCCUUACUCUUUCAUCACAGUCCAUCUUCCUGUAAAUCACCUCAGAAACUAUAUGUGAAUCACAAUGAAAGAAAAUUCUGCUAGUUAAUCACCUAUAUAAUAUA